ensembl:ncRNA C31H2.8 ncRNA
GUGUUAUUCAACAACCUCAUUUCUCGCACCAUUACCCUUAUUCACUGAAAUUC